CCUACGGGCGGCAGCAGUGGGGGAUAGUGCACAAUGGGGGAAACCCUGAUGCAGCGACGCCGCGUGUGGGAAGACGGUCCUCUGGAGUGUAAACCACUGUCACCAGGGACGAAGAUGACGGUACCUGGGGAGGAAGCGCAGGCUAACUCCGUGCCAGCAGCCGCGGUAAUACGGCGGGAGCGAGCGUGGUCCGGAAUUACUGGGGGUAAGGGGCGCGUAGGCGGGGGUGCAAGUUGGGUGUCAAAACUACCGGCUCCACUGGUAUUCGCACUCAAAACUGCAGCUCUUGAGGGCCGUAGAGGCAGUCGCAAUUCCUUGUGUAGCGGUGAAAUGCGUAGAUAUUAG
rnacentral:rRNA from 1 species